rnacentral:rRNA from 1 species
UACGUAGGGUGCAAGCGUUGUCCGGAAUUAUUGGGCGUAAAGAGCUCGUAGGCGGUUUGUCGCGUCUGCUGUGAAAAUCCAGGGCUUAACCCUGGACCUGCAGUGGGUACGGGCAGACUAGAGUGCGGUAGGGGAGAUCGGAAUUCCUGGUGUAGCGGUGAAAUGCGCAGAUAUCGGGAGGAACACCAAUGGCGAAGGCAGCUCGCUGGGACGGUACUGACGCUGAGGCGCGAAAGCGUGGGGAGCAAACAGG